rnacentral:lncRNA from 1 species
CCCUGACAUCCUAGAGCAGUACUAUUUCAGUUCACAUCUGCUGCUUCUGAUCAAAACACUGUCUUGUACUUCCUGAGAGAGCGAGCACUUCCUGCCAGGUGUCCCCUUGUGCCCGCUGUGUGGCUGUGGGGUUCAGUGUCUUUCACGCAUGCUAGCAUGGCACUUGGUGCCUUAUUUGCAGGCCAUGAGAUAGAACCCACACUUUUGCCUCCAGAAGCUCUUGUGGGUGGGAUUGUGCAUUAGAUAGCAAGAGUCCACCCACACAUUUUC